UGCCUGAUGGAGGGGGAUAACUACUGGAAACGGUAGCUAAUACCGCAUAACGUCGCAAGACCAAAGAGGGGGACCUUCGGGCCUCUUGCCAUCGGAUGUGCCCAGAUGGGAUUAGCUAGUAGGUGGGGUAACGGCUCACCUAGGCGACGAUCCCUAGCUGGUCUGAGAGGAUGACCAGCCACACUGGAACUGAGACACGGUCCAGACUC
rnacentral:rRNA from 1 species